UGGUGUAGCUCAACUGUAGAGCUGGCGACUUAUAAUCGCUCGAUGCGGGUUCAACUCCCACCAGUACCAA
rnacentral:tRNA from 1 species